rnacentral:rRNA from 1 species
AAUUAAACUAUUUAGUGGGUAAGAGAGUGGGCAUGCGUUCUAUUAGUUAGUUGGAGUGGUAACGGCCACCCAAGACAGCGAUAGAGUAGGGGCCCUGAGAGGGGGAUCCCCCACACUGGUACUGAGACACGGACCAGACUCCUACGGGAGGCAGCAGUGAGGAAUAUUGGACAAUGGGCGAGAGCCUGAUCCAGCCAUGCCGCGUGCAGGAAGACGGCCCUAUGGGUUGUAAACUGCUUUGUACGGGAAGAAGCACCCCUCGUGAGGGGCUUGACGGUACCGUAAGAAUAAGGAUCGGCUAACUCCGUG